CCUACGGAGGGCAGCAGUAGGGAAUCUUCCACAAUGGACGAAAGUCUGAUGGAGCAACGCCGCGUGAGUGAAGAAGGGUUUCGGCUCGUAAAGCUCUGUUGGUAGUGAAGAAAGAUAGAGGUAGUAACUGGCCUUUAUUUGACGGUAAUUACUUAGAAAGUCACGGCUAACUACGUGCCAGCAGCCGCGGUAAUACGUAGGUGGCAAGCGUUGUCCGGAUUUAUUGGGCGUAAAGCGAGUGCAGGCGGUUCAAUAAGUCUGAUGUGAAAGCCUUCGGCUCAACCGGAGAAUUGCAUCAGAAACUGUUGAACUUGAGUGCAGAAGAGGAGAGUGGAACUCCAUGUGUAGCGGUGGAAUGCGUAGAUAUAUGGAAGAACACCAGUGGCGAAGGCGGCUUUCUGGUCUGCAACUGACGUUGAGGCUCGAAAGCAUGGGUAGCGAACAGGAUUAGAUACCCGGGUAGUC
rnacentral:rRNA from 1 species